ACGAACGCUGGCGGCGUGCUUAACACAUGCAAGUCGAACGGAAAGGCCCUGCUUUUGUGGGGUGUUCGAGUGGCGAACGGGUGAGUAACACGUGAGUAACCUGCCCUUGACUUUGGGAUAACUUUAGGAAACUGGGGCUAAUACCGGAUAGGAGCUCCUGCUGCAUGGUGGGGGUUGGAAAGUUUCGGCGGUUGGGGAUGGACUCGCGGCCUAUCAGCUUGUUGGUGGGGUAGUGGCUUACCAAGGCUUUGACGGGUAGCCGGCCUGAGAGGGUGAACGGCCACAUUGGGACUACGAUACGGCCCAGACUGCUACGGGGGACAGCAGUGGGGAAUAUUGCACAAUGGGCGGAAGCGUGAUGCAGCAACGCCGCGUGCGGGAUGACGGCCUUCGGGUUGUAAACCGCUUUCGCCUGUGACGAAGCGUGAGUGACGGUAAUGGGUAAAGAAGCACCGGCUAACUACGUG
rnacentral:rRNA from 1 species